rnacentral:tRNA from 1 species
GGGGUUGUAGCUCAUUGGUAGAGUGCUGGCCUCGCAAAUGUGAAGCCCUGGGUUCGAUCCCCAGCACCA